GACCAUUGAAACUGAAUGGUUCUUUAUGUGUGUUCCACUGUGUAUAGCCCCUUGUAAAUCCAUUUUUGUAAAAAUGAAAUUUCACAUCAUAUCCUUUGAGAAACCUUGUGUUUUUACAUAUAGAACAUGGACAUUUGAUCAUAUCUCCAUCUCUUGUUCGAGACAUGGCAAAUUCAAUGAACUCUUCAACACCUUCAAUGAAUCUAUCAGAAAGAAAUCCAUCACCUGACCUUUUCAACAUCAAACUGCGGUCUAAUGCCAUAAUGUUCAAC
rnacentral:lncRNA from 1 species